rnacentral:rRNA from 1 species
CAGCCGCCGCGGUAAUACGGAGGGGGCUAGCGUUGUUCGGAAUUACUGGGCGUAAAGCGCACGUAGGCGGCUUGGUAAGUUAGAGGUGAAGGCCCAGGGUUCAACCCUGGAAUUGCCUUUAGGACUGCCGAGCUAGUAGGUGAGAGAGGUAAGUGGAAUUCCGAGUGUAGAGGUGAAAUUCGUAGAUAUUCGGAAGAACACCAGUGGCGAAGGCGGCUUACUGGCUCAUUCUAGACGCUGAGGUGCGAAAGCGUGGGGAGCAAACAGGAUUAGAUACCCCGGUAGUCCCUGUCUCUUAUAC